ensembl:snRNA U6 U6 spliceosomal RNA
GUGCUUGCUUCAGCAUCACAUAUACUAAAAUUGGAACAAUACAAGGAGGAUUAGUAUGGCCCUUGUGCAAGAAUUCAACAGCAUAUUAAAAACACAUGGUGAGUGGCA